rnacentral:lncRNA from 10 species
CUAACACCUCUGGUUUUUGCACAUAGAGAGGGGGUGAAGCUGGAUUGCGCAUAUGCCUGGUUUUGGGUCUGCAGUUGGUUCCUGCUGGUGGGUUCGUGGUCUCGCUGACUUCAAGAAUGCACCCAUGGACUUUCACGGACCUUCGCAGUUCAUAGGUAGAAGGAACUUGGACUUGGGACUUCAGACUUGAUGUUGGAAUGAGUCAAGACAUUGAGAGGACUGUUGAGAAG